CUGACGAGCACGCCGCGUGAGUGAGAGGUUUUCGGAUCGUAAAACUCUGUUGUUAGAGAAGAACAAGUGCUAGAGUAACUGUUAGCGCCUUGACGGUAUCUAACCAGAAAGCCACGGCUAACUACGUGCCAGCAGCCGCGGUAAUACGUAGGUGGCAAGCGUUGUCCGGAUUUAUUGGGCGUAAAGCGAGCGCAGGCGGUUCCUUAAGUCUGAUGUGAAAGCCCCCGGCUCAACCGGGGAGGGUCAUUGGAAACUGGGGAACUUGAGUGCAGAAGAGGAGAGUGGAAUUCCAUGUGUAGCGGUGAAAUGCGUAGAUAUAUGGAGGAACACCAGUGGCGAAGGCGACUCUCUGGUCUGUAACUGACGCUGAGGCUCGAAAGCGUGGGUAGCAAACA
rnacentral:rRNA from 1 species